rnacentral:rRNA from 1 species
AGAGGAGACUGGAAUAGUCGGUGUAGCGGUGAAAAUGCGUAGAGAUCGAUAGAACACCGGUGGCGAAGGCGAGUCUCUGGGACAGUUCCUGACGCUCAGGCACGAAAGCCAGGGGAGCAAACGGGAUUAGAUACCCCGGUAGUCCCUGGCCCUAAACGGUGUUCACUCGGUGUGCGGGGAGUCGACCCCCUGCGUGCCGAAGCUAACGCGAUAAGUGAACCGCCUGGGAAGUACGGCCGCAAGGCUAAAACUCAAAGAAAUUGACGGGGGCCCGCACAAGCGGUGGAGCAUGUGGCUUAAUUCGAUGCAACGCGAAGAACCUUACCUGGCCUUGACAUGCUGGUAGUAGAAGCCAGAAACGGCGACGACUCCUCGCAAGAGGAGAGCCAGCACAGGUGCUGCAUGGUUGUCGUCAGCUCGUGUCGUGAGAUGUUGGCUUAAGUGCCGCAACGAGCGCAACCCCUGUGUUUAGUUGCCCGCGCAAGCGGGAUCUCUAAACAGACUGCCUCGCUUUAAACGAGGAGGAAGGUGGGGAUGACGUCAAAUCAGUAUGGCCCUUACGGCCAGGGCUGCACACGUGCUACAAUGCAUGGUACAGAGGGACGCAAGACCGCGAGGUGGAGCAAAUCCCACAAAACCAUGCCCAGUUCAGAUUGAAGGCUGCAACUCGCCUUCAUGAAGCCGGAAUCGCUAGUAAUGGCGCAUCAGCUACGGCGCCGUGAAUACGUUCCCGGGCCUUGUACACACCGCCCGUCACAUCAUGGAAGCUGUCUGCACCCGAACUCGCCGCGCCAACC